AAUUCUAAAGGCAAGGGGGUUCAGUACUAGUAAGCUGUACCUAAUAAAGUGGCCGGUGAGUGUAACGUUAAAAGCUCUAUUAAUAGAUACUGGAAAACAACUCUGUUUUAGACAAUAUCUCAAAACUUUGUUUGACCAUUUUCUAUUUAUAAAGUUAACAUUUUCUAUCUUAAGAUCAACCGGUUUGGGAGUUAUCGCUGAAUAUUUUGUAUGUUCCUUCACUAACCAUUUGCAAAGGUAUCUUCUUAAUAAUUAUCAUUUAGGGAAACAACUUAUUUAGUAUUUUCAACAGAAAGCAUCAUAACUUAACAUAUUUCCUAAAUUAUCCAUACACGACAUCAAAUUACUCAAAUUCUAAACUCCAUUUCCUCAACACCUGAACAGAAUAUACAAACUUCCGGUUCCACAGUUCCACAAGCGUGUGACCAUGGUUACAGUUGUCUGAAUGGACACAUACUAUUUCUGCUCAACAACUACGCGUCUACAAUUCAUAAAAUGUCGAAGCAAGAGCGACUGUACGAGUUGAAUAUGCAUAGAGAAACGUGGUGUCGUGUGGAGACAACGAGCAAGUACUGGAAUUUGCCUGAAAGGAAACAUUUUCGUUGUCACCUGCAGAACACCUGCGACAUCAGCGCGCUGCAGACUGCGAGCCCCGAGCAGCGCUCCGCCUGGAUGAGCAGCGGAGGACAAAACACCGCACACCCCGAGCGGAGACACUUCGAGGACAGCUAUAGAGCUCAUCUGGUAUGAGGAGCUGCAGUCAACCUCUGUGGAAUAAAGUCGUCCAGACAGAAAUAAACAUUUAUAAAUACAAUGAAAUAUCAAAUAUUGUAAAUAAUUAAUACUAUACAGUGAAUUAAACAAUUUUGAGUUAAAUGUACAGUUACAUUUUUAUAUCAUUCAUUCAUUUUCUAUUCAGCUUUUUAAUCCCUUAUUAAAAUUAAUAUUAUCCCUUAAACUUAUUAAUCAGGGGUUGCCACAGUGGAAUAAACCACCAACUUAGCAUAUGUUUUGCGCAGCGGAUGCAUUUGGAAUGGCUCAUCCUUAUGCCCUAAUCCCUUUGGAGGGUCCCUUUGAAGGGGAUAGAGCAGAGGGAUGAGCCCUUCUGAACCGAAUGCAGUGUGUGACACCUUCCCUGCUCAAAGGAUUGUGGUAUAUCCCGUUUGGACUGCACCAAGUGUUAUGGUGCAUCCCAUUUGGGGACUUUUGCACUAGUCUACUGAAGUAUGAUUCUGAAGUAUGAACAGUGCAGGUAUUGUGUUCACACUGAAAAUUAAUUCCAAAAAAGUGCACUUUAAAUAUCCUGAUGAAAGAUUUUGUAAAGGAGUUCAUUUUGACCCUUAUCAACUAACUAUUCAAAUAGAUGGAUAAAACUAAUUUUCAUUAAAAUGCAUCAUACAAGUGAGCUAUUUAUUCUAUUUAUUCACAAAAUCAAAUCAAAGACACUAAUUGUAAGGCUUGAGAUACCACAAAUACUUUGAUGUCUUUGACAGUUCGAAUAUGAGUUGAAAACAGAGACAAUCAGUUCCACAAUCCAGCAGGUGGGAAUGCGGGAAAAACCAGCUCCCCUCCAUUCCUCAGUUUACAUUUGAAACAUUUCUUAACUCACACAGAAUGGUCAUUUCAAAGUCUGAAUGUUCUAAAUCAACCCAAGUGACUUUAUCUAUCAUGUUUGAUAUCAUUUGAAAUGUCUCAGUGCGACUGGUACCAUGGUCUCAUUCCCUCAGAAAUAGACAUAAUCAAAAUAAUAAAUAUAUAACUUCAGGUAUCUUUUGAACCACUGUGAAGGGCGUGCCUAUAGGCAGAAACUCUUUUACUAAAUGCAAAUGACUUUUGUUAUUCACACACCUCUUUCCUUGAGGGGAUUCUUGGAUUUACUACUUAAGGGAAGGUUUCUAAAAUGUUCAUCGUUUAUGAAUUGACUGAAUGAAUUGGCAUAAUACACAUUUACCUGAUUAUUAAAUUAUGUUUGAACAUAA